ACACACACACGAAACCAUUGCAAAAAAGACUAUGCCAAGAGGCUGAACUCAUUUUGUCCAUAAAAGCAGAACCCAGGGACCUGGGUGGUGCCAGUACAGCCCACCUCAUCAAGGGAACUGAAACGGAAAAAGAUUGCGAGCCCUCAUGUUGUCAGUUCAGGUGAAAGCCAAGAAACAUCAGUGGAAACCAAAAUCAGUCUUUUAUUGGGAUCGUUUUACCCUAUGGAACAUUUUUAUAAAUAGUAUCAGUAGCACUGCCUAGACUCAUGUUAAAGAAUUUUAAAGCAAGAAAGGGACUUCAAAGAUUAGCUCACCCCCCACCUUCUUGGAAAGGAUUUAUAGAUUCUUUUGAUUAAGGAGAGUUAUUUUCUCACAAGUUUUCACCAUUUUUAAGAAACACUGUGCCCCAUUAUUUCCCUAAGGCCCACGGUCAACUUGACUCAAAGCUUCUUAACUGGACACAUGUAUUCCUGCUGAUCCUAUUCUCCCAACCACCUAUAUUCUUCCCAAGGGUGGAUCCGGUAUACAAUAUUCACAAAGCACUUGCCCUCACACACAGGCUUCCCUCAAGGGACUCCAGAGGAAUAGAAAUGCACCUGCUCAGAGGCAGUUUACCUGUAGACACAUCAGGAUGUGUACUUACAAAAGCAAACACACACACACACACACACAAAACCUACCCCAAUGCCUCAACAGACUCACUGAACUGAGAUCCAGACAGUUUCUUUUUUUGGCAUUUCCCCUUCAGAUAAAGAUAAUUUCCAACACAGUAAACUCACUUUCUCCAGGGUUAUUUCUGGAAGGUGAAGGGGGCAGACAUAAAAGCGCUAGGGACAGGGGAGAGAGCUCUGUGGCAAACUGCUGCUGGCCUUUAGACAGAUUUAAUUGGAGGAGGGAGACUUGCUAAGUGUGACCACAAGGUGGCAUUUACAGCUCCCCUAGUUACCUCCUGAUGGUGGGGUUGAGGACAGCCUAUGCCUCCAUGUUUUCAGGAGAACUCAACACCAAAUCCGAACCCAGGGAAACUGGCCACCUGAUUUGCACCGGAGAUUGAUUUGUAAAAGAAACAGCAACAACAAAAAGGGUGGCAAGAAAAGCCAAGCAAACUUCCACAAAUAGUUAAAUCCACCCUACCUUUCACUUCCUAGCUGCCCCAUUCGGCUACCCAGAGCAGCAGGACACUCAACACCUGCACCCUCCCACCUGGGAACCAACCAGCUCUCUGCACAGUGAAGCUGUUAUUUCAGACAAACCUGAGGAACCUGGGUUGCCAAUGAGCUCAAUGCCAAACCAAACAAUCCUUAAUCACAUUUAUACUUUAAAAAUCCAGUCCCAGAACCAAGCUGUAGGUUAAAUGACAAAAAGGUCAUUAUGGAACCUUUUCUAAGAGCCCUUUUAUUAUCUUUUUUGGGCCAUGCCUGUGGCAUGUGGACAUUCCUGAACCAGGGAUUGAACCCUUGCUAUGGCAGUGAUGAGCCGCUGCAGGGACAUGCCAGAUCCUCAAUUCUUCGAGAAGGGAACUUCUCAAAGAGCCCUUUUAUAAGCAUCAGUUGAAGGAGGGAUUAUGAAUUCCUCUUUGUCCUCUCCUCUAGGGGAUAAAUGGAACCUGUGAGAACAGUUGGAUGCAUUAGGCUGAGGGGGUUGAGACAGACUAGCUGGUGGCCUGGAUUUGGAAAUGCUCCUGGGGCAUGAAAACAUUUUUCUUUUUCUUUUUUGAUAUCCGCCCCAAAUUUCAGGAAAGAUGGAGCCACUUACUCAAGCUUUUCUAUGUCUUGCUUUCUUUUCACCAGACUGCUAUUCAAUCUAAUCCCUUACUUCCCUUUCUUUCCCUUCAAAGAGGCACUGUACUUGCAUCUCACUGUUCAUUCUUAAACAUUGAUAAGGAGCCUCAGAAAGACUCAUACUUCAGUUCAGUUUCAAUAAUCCCACGAGGGUGGGGGUAAUCCGUUUUCACUUGCCUCAAGCGUGCCAAGGCUGCAAGAAGGGCCUUGGGACCUCAGGGGCCUGGAGUGAAUCUGAGAAGCUUGGGAGUCUGCCUCUUGCAGAAAGCUGCAGAUGCCAGGAGCUGCUGACUCAGCGCUGCCCAGCCUCCCUGGGUGGUCUAUUUUCCUCCCAGUAACAAUGACAGAGAAGUUCUUUGCUCAGAGGAAAGGUGAGUCACCGGGCUGGUGAGUCACAGCACCUUUAUCCUCUCUCUGGCCAAGAUCCUGAAGAUCUUUGAUGAAACAUUUCCCUACACCUUUGCUUCUUCCAUAGCCCAGCCCCACAUAGAUGGGACAAGAUUUCCCUCAUCAAUCCUGAAAUAUUGUGGCACCACCCGGCCUAAUGAGCACUCACAGACCGAAUGCAAACCUCUAAAAGCAGCUACCAUGUGCCUGGAAAAGCAUUUACUUAAAAGAAAGACUGGGAGGAAGAAAAAAAAAAAAAAAAGAA